CAAUAGCGUAUAUUAAAGUUGUUGCGGUUAAAAGCUCGUAGUUGGAUUUCUGUCGAGGACGUCCGGUCCGCACUUUGUGCGUGUAUCUGGUUCGGCCUUGGCAUCCUCCUGGGGAACAGCGCUGCGCUUGAUUGCGUGGUCUGGUAUUCAGGACUUUUACUUUGAGGAAAUUAGAGUGUUUACGGCAGGCAAUCGCCUUGAAUAUAUUAGCAUGGAAUAAUAAUAUAGGACCUUUGUUCUAUUUUGUUGGUUUCUAGAACGAAGGUAAUGAUUAAUAGGGAUAAUUGGGGGCAUUCGUAUUAACACGUCAGAGGUGAAAUUCUUGGAUUGUGUUACGACGAACUACUGCGAAAGCAUUUGCCAAGGAUGUUUUCAUUGAUCAAGAACGAAAGUGCGGGGAUCGAAGACGAUUAGAUACCGU
rnacentral:rRNA from 1 species